rnacentral:piRNA from 1 species
UGUGAGACUCGAGGCAAAAUUUGGCGGUGU